rnacentral:rRNA from 1 species
GUGGAUGAUCUACCUUCUAGUGGGGAAUAACCCUGGGAAACCGGGGCUAAUACCGCAUAAGCUCGAGAGAGGAAAGCAGCAAUGCGCUGGAAGAGGAGUCCGCGGCCGAUUAGCUAGUUGGCAGGGUAAAAGCCUACCAAGGCAAAGAUCGGUAGCCGGCCUGAGAGGGCACACGGCCACACUGGCACUGAAACACGGGCCAGACUCCUACGGGAGGCAGCAGUGGGGAAUCUUGCACAAUGGGGGAAACCCUGAUGCAGCGACGCCGCGUGAGCGAUGAAGCCCUUCGGGGUGUAAAGCUCUUUCGGCAGGGAAGAUAAUGACGGUACCUGCAGAAGCAGCUGCGGCUAACUACGUGCCAGCAGCCGCGGUAAUACGUAGGCAGCGAGCGUUGUUCGGAGUUACUGGGCGUAAAGGGUGCGUAGGCGGUUGUUUAAGUUUGGUGUGAAAUCUCCCGGCUCAACCGGGAGGGUGCGCCGAAUACUGAAUGACUAGAGUGCGGGAGAGGAUAGUGGAAUU